ACCACAUUUCAUAUGAAGUCAGGCACCUGGAACCAUCUCUUUAUUUGGUUAGUUGCGUGGAUACAAGGUCCAGCAUGUAUACAGUGAUAAGUGAUAUAGAGCCUUUAGCAGAACCUCUGAAAGAGCAAGCAUGACACAAUUCUUGGGAAAGUUGCUCACCCAAGGGAGCGCUACCCGAGCACAAACAUGCAUUCUGUCUUCCUGGGGGGCCUUGUCAAACUCUGCUGAUACAUCCAAUAUAGAAAAACACUUGUUGAUAUUAGCCUCCAAAAUUUCACUCUUAUCAGAAAAUAGCUCUGCAAGAUAGGAACAGCAAGAUCCAUCAAGAGAUGACCCAUCCUAGCUCUCUGCCUAAAGAUGGCCUUCAGCUAGGAUACACUUCUUGAAAUGCAACACAGCUAAAUGUAGUCUGCCAUCCCCACUGACCAAGAAGAGACAUUUCUUUGUCAGAAGCAUCCAUUUGGCCUUACUGGGAAAAAAAUAUCAUAAGGAUUUACAGUGGAAUUCAUUGUGUUAACAA